GAUGUCACUUCCGGGCGGCAAAUCCCUGCGUUGCCGUGGCAACGCGAUGGCGGCGGCUGAGGACAGCUCUUCGCUAUGGCUGGAGGCUCACGAGGACCCCCUGGCCGGGCUGUGCAGCUUCCCGGGGUGCAUGGCGCUGGUUGAUCUCCAUGGCGACGGCGACCACAAGCUGGUGGUGGGGGUCCCCCGCGGGCCGGGGGGGC